GGUGCCCAGGCGCGAAAACUUUGCAAUACACGAAAGUGUGACAGGGCUAUCCCGAGUGCCAUCCGCUGAGGAAGGCUUUUACCCAGUCUAGAAAGCUGGGGGAAUAAGGAGAGGGCAAGUCUGGUGUCAGCCGCCGCGGUAAUACCAGCUCUCCGAGUGGUGUGGAUGUUUAUUGGGCCUAAAGCAUCCGUAGCUGGCUAAGUUAGUCCCUUGUUAAAUCCACCGAAUUAAUCGUUGGAUCGCGGGGGAUACUGCUUGGCUAGGGGACGAGAGAGGCAGACGGUAUUUUCGGGGUAGGGGUGAAAUCCUAUAAUCCCGGGAAGACCACCAGUGGCGAAGGCUGUCUGCUAGAACGCGCCCGACGGUGAGGGAUGAAAGCUGGGGGAGCGAACCGGAUUAGAUACCCGGGUAGUCCCAGCUGUAAACGAUGCAGGCUAGGUGUUUGGACGGCCACGUGCCGUUCUAGUGCCGCAGGGAAGCUGUUAAGCCUGCCGCCUGGGGAGUACGAUCGCAAGAUUGAAACUUAAAGGAAUUGGCGGGGGAGCAC
rnacentral:rRNA from 1 species